rnacentral:lncRNA from 1 species
GAAAGACAGAACAUGAGGAGGAUGCAGGGCCUCCUGCUCCCAUGCAGCGCUGGCUACCAUGGGGGCAACAAUGCCUCCAUGCAGCAGAAAAAGUACUGCAGGGAAAGCUGCAUCCUCAGGCCCUGGUGACCUGCAAGUUGGAGAAGUUCCAGGACCAAACAACCCAAUGCACCUGCAACAACACAGUCAAAGAGUUGAUGGAUACGGGGAGCAAGAGUG